UACGAAGGGGGCUAGCGUUGUUCGGAAUUACUGGGCGUAAAGGGCGCGUAGGCGGCGUGUCAAGUCAGGCGUGAAAGCCCCGGGCUCAACCUGGGAACCGCGCUUGAGACUGGCAUGCUCGAGUUCGGGAGAGGAUGGUGGAAUUCCCAGUGUAGAGGUGAAAUUCGUAGAUAUUGGGAAGAACACCGGAUGGCGAAGGCAGCCAUCUGGACCGACACUGACGCUGAGGCGCGAAAGCGUGGGGAGCAAACAGG
rnacentral:rRNA from 1 species